rnacentral:rRNA from 1 species
GGUGGUGCAUGGUUGUCGUCAGCUCGUGUCGUGAGAUGUUGGGUUAAGUCCCGCAACGAGCGCAACCCUUAUGACUAGUUGCCAGCAUUUAGUUGGGCACUCUAGUAAGACUGCCGGUGACAAACCGGAGGAAGGUGGGGAUGACGUCAAAUCAUCAUGCCCCUUAUGACCUGGGCUACACACGUGCUACAAUGGAUGGUACAACGAGUUGCGAGACCGCGAGGUCAAGCUAAUCUCUUAAAGCCAUUCUCAGUUCGGACUGUAGGCUGCAACUCGCCUACACGAAGUCGGAAUCGCUAGUAAUCGCGGAUCAGCACGCCGCGGUGAAUACGUUCCCGGGCCUUGUACAC